AAGGGUGAGAACCCUCGAUUAAGGUUCGACUCGAGCGAAAGCGAGAGAACGUUGCCAACGGCAACGGCCCGUAGGGUGAGGAGCGAAGCGACGAAUAAUCCUU
rnacentral:sRNA from 1 species